rnacentral:rRNA from 1 species
UACAGGUGGUGCGAUGGUUGUCGUUAGCUCGUGCCGUGAGGUGUGGGUUAAGUCCCGCAACGAGCGCAACCCUCAUUGUUAGUUACUACCAUUCAGUUGAGGACUCUAAUGAGACUGCCAACGAUAAGUUGGAGGAAGGUGGGGAUGACGUCAAAUCAUCAUGCCCUUUAUGACCUGGGCUACAAACGUACUACAAUGGCCAAUACAAAGAGAUGCGAAGCGGUGACGUGGAGCGAACCUCAGAAAGUUGGUCUCAGUUCAGAUUGAAGUCUGCAACUCGACUUCAUGAAGGCGGAAUCGCUAGUAAUCGCGGGUCAGCAGACCGCGGUGAAUACGUUCCCGGGUUUU